CUGAUAAGCUUGCGCGCGGUCAGCGAGGGCAGCGAGCGUGUCAGAAGUCAACUAGCGCCACGUAGAGGAACUAAAAAACUGGGACAAAACGCGUACAAUUUUUUAGUAUACGAGCAGUGGUGAGUGUCAGGGGGAUGUUACGGAACCUGUUCUUCCAUGU